rnacentral:rRNA from 1 species
UACAGAGGUCCCAAGCGUUGCCCGGAUUCACUGGGCGUAAAGCGGGUGUAGGCGGUUCUUUAAGUCAGAUGUGAAAUCCUGCGGCUCAACCGCGGAACUGCAUCUGAUACUGGGGAACUUGAGGACGGUAGAGGUCGGUGGAAUCCCCGGUGUACCGGUGAAAUGGGCAGAUAUCGGGGGGAACACCAGUGGCGAAGGCGGCCGACUGGGCCGAUCCUGACGCUGAGACCCGAAAGCCAGGGUAGCGAACCGG